GACGAACCGUACGAACGUUAUUCGGAAUCACUGGGCUUAAAGGGUGCGUAGGCUGCGCAGCAAGUUGGGUGUGAAAUCCCUCGGCUUAACCGAGAAACUGCGCCCAAAACUGCUGUGCUCGAGGGAGAUAGAGGUGAGCGGAACUUAGGGUGGAGCGGUGAAAUGCGUUGAUAUCCUAAGGAACACCGGUGGCGAAGGCGGCUUCCUGGUCUGCAACUGACGCUGUGGCGCGAAAGCUAGGGGAGCAAACGGG
rnacentral:rRNA from 1 species